rnacentral:rRNA from 1 species
UGGGGAAUUUUCCGCAAUGGGCGCAAGCCUGACGGAGCAACGCCGCGUGAGGGAGGAAGGCCUGUGGGUCGUAAACCUCUUUUCUCAGGGAAGAAGAACUGACGGUACCUGAGGAAUCAGCAUCGGCUAACUCCGUGCCAGCAGCCGCGGUAAGACGGAGGAUGCAAGCGUUAUCCGGAAUUAUUGGGCGUAAAGCGUCCGUAGGCGGUUACGAAAGUCUGGUGUUAAAGCCCACAGCUCAACUGUGGAUUGGCAUUGGAAACUGCGUGACUAGAGAGUGGUAGGGGUAGAGGGAAUUCCUAGUGUAGCGGUGAAAUGCGUAGAUAUUAGGAAGAACACCAGUGGCGAAGGCGCUCUACUGGGCCAUUACUGACGCUGAUGGACGAAAGCUAGGGGAGCGAAAGGGAUUAGAUACCCCCGUAGUCC